rnacentral:rRNA from 1 species
AUGAACGCUAGCGACAGGCCUAACACAUGCAAGUCAGGGGCAGCACAAGGAGCAAUCUGAGGUGGCGACCGGCGCACGGGUGAGUAACACGUAUGCAACCUGCCUGUAAGCGGGGAAUAACCCGUUGAAAGACGGACUAAUACCGCAUAAUACUAAAUUACUGCAUGGUAAUUUAUUUGAACAUUUAUGGCUUACAGAUGGGCAUGCGCAUGAUUAGCUAGUUGGAGAGGUAACGGCUCCCCAAGGCAACGAUCAUUAGGGGUUCUGAGAGGAAGGUCCCCCACACUGGUACUGAGACACGGACCAGACUCCUACGGGAGGCAGCAGUGAGGAAUAUUGGUCAAUGGACGAGAGUCUGAACCAGCCAAGUCGCGUGCAGGAAGAAUGUCCUUAAUGGAUUGUAAACUGCUUUUGCAGGGGAAUAAAGUGCAUCACGUGUGAUGUUUUGUAUGUACUCUGCGAAUAAGGAUCGGCUAACUCCGUGCCAGCCGCUGC